rnacentral:lncRNA from 1 species
UUUAGUUUUAACUUUGUCACUGAUUUAACGAAAAAAAUUAGUGAAAAAAAAUAACAAAAAAAAAUAAAUAAAAAUACAGGAUAUGAAAGUGAUACAUUUUAAAUUAUAGAAUACUAAAGUAAAAAAGUGUGAAACCACAUGAGUGGUAUUUGAAGUUUUUUUUUUAUUUUUAUGUCCAGAAAAUAAUUAUAUAAUUUGAAGUAAUAUCAAUUUAUAUAGUUUUUUUUUUUUU